UUAUGUUGGUUCAAGCUUGUAGUCGUGCCUGGUAGGCAAAUCCGCCGGGCUUAGAUGAGGAGUGAUAACGAGGCUGCUUGCAGCCGAAGUGAGUGAUACCCUGCUUCCAGGAAAAGCCACUAAGCUUCAGCUAUACACGACCGUACCGCAAACCGACACUGGUGCGCGAGAUGAGUAUUCUAAGGCGCUUGAGAGAACUCAGGAGAAGGAACUCGGCAAAUUGACACCGUAACUUCGGAAGAAGGUGUGCCUUUAGUAGGUGAAGGGAUUUACUCCUGGAGCCCAAUGAGGUUGCAAAAAAUCGGCGGCUGCGACUGUUUAUUAAAAACACAGCACUCUGCAAACACGAAAGUGGACGUAUAGGGUGUGACGCCUGCCCGGUGCUGGAAGAUUAAAUGAUGGGGUGCAAGCUCUUGAUUGAAGUCCCAGUAAACGGCGGCCGUAACAAUAACGGUCCUAAGGUAGCGAAAUUCCUUGUCGGGUAAGUUCCGACCUGCACGAAUGGCGUAACGAUGGCCACACUGUCUCCUCCUGAGACUCAGCGAAGUUGAAAUGUUUGUGAUGAUGCAAUCUCCCCGCGGAAAGACGGAAAGACCCCAUGAACCUUUACUGUAGCUUUGUAUUGGACUUUGAACAGAUCUGUGUAGGAUAGGUGGGAGGCUUUGAAGUAGGGUCGCUAGAUCUUAUGGAGCCAACGUUGAAAUACCACCCUGGUGUGUUUGAGGUUCUAACCUAGGUCCAUUAUCUGGAUCGGGGACAGUGCAUGGUAGGCAGUUUGACUGGGGCGGUCUCCUCCCAAAGCGUAACGGAGGAGUUCGAAGGUACGCUAGUUACGGUCGGACAUCGUGACGAUAGUGCAAUGGCAUAAGCGUGCUUAACUGCGAGACUGACAAGUCGAGCAGAUGCGAAAGCAGGACAUAGUGAUCCGGUGGUUCUGUAUGGAAGGGCCAUCGCUCAACGGAUAAAAGGUACUCUGGGGAUAACAGGCUGAUACCGCCCAAGAGUUCAUAUCGACGGCGGUGUUUGGCACCUCGAUGUCGGCUCAUCUCAUCCUGGGGCUGUAGCCGGUCCCAAGGGUAUGGCUGUUCGCCAUUUAAAGAGGUACGUGAGCUGGGUUUAAAACGUCGUGAGACAGUUUGGUCCCUAUCUUCCGUGGGCGCUGCAGAUUUGAGGAAGCCUGCUCCUAGUACGAGAGGACCGGAGUGGACACACCUCUGGUGUAUCGGUUGUCACGCCAGUGGCAUUGCCGAGUAGCUAAGUGUGGAAGAGAUAACCGCUGAAAGCAUCUAAGCGGGAAACUCGUUUCAAGAUGAGAUCUGCCGGGGCCUUGAGCCCCCUAAAGAGUCGUUCAAGACCAGGACGUUGAUAGGUCAGGUGUGGAAGCGCAGUAAUGCGUUAAGCUAACUGAUACUAAUUGCUCGUGCGGCUUGACCU
rnacentral:rRNA from 1 species